AGGAGGAACAACCCCAGUGGCUAUGGCAGCUCUGGAAACCUGGAUUCAGCCCCCGCAGUAACUCCGGAGCUCUCCGUCUGCAGGGCCUGGAGGCUCCGGGGUGGG
rfam:Canis lupus familiaris chromosome 14, whole genome shotgun sequence.